rnacentral:rRNA from 1 species
UACGGAGAGUGCAAGCGUUGUUCGGAAUUAUUGGGCGUAAAGCGCGUGUAGGCGGUCCAACAAGUCUGGCGUGAAAGCCCAGAGCUCAACUCUGGAAGUGCGCUGGAAACUGUCGGACUUGAGUACCGGAGGGGAAGGUGGAAUUCUCGAGUGUAGAGGUGAAAUUCGUAGAUAUUCGGAAGAACAUCAGUGGCGAAGGCGGCCUUCUGGACGGAUACUGACGCUGAGACGCGAAAGCGUGGGGAGCAAACAGG